AGAGUUUGAUCCUGGCUCAGAUUGAACGCUGGCGGCAGGCUUAACACAUGCAAGUCGAACGGUAACAUGGGUGCUUGCACCUGAUGACGAGUGGCGGACGGGUGAGUAAUGUCUGGGAAACUGCCCGAUGGAGGGGGAUAACUACUGGAAACGGUAGCUAAUACCGCAUAACGUCGCAAGACCAAAGAGGGGGACCUUCGGGCCUCUUGCCAUCGGAUGUGCCCAGAUGGGAUUAGCUAGUAGGUGGGGUAACGGCUCACCUAGGCGACGAUCCCUAGCUGGUCUGAGAGGAUGACCAGCCACACUGGAACUGAGACACGGUCCAGACUCCUACGGGAGGCAGCAGUGGGGAAUAUUGCACAAUGGGCGCAAGCCUGAUGCAGCCAUGCCGCGUGUAUGAAGAAGGCCUUCGGGUUGUAAAGUACUUUCAGCGAGGAGGAAGGCAUUAAGGUUAAUAACCUUAGUGAUUGACGUUACUCGCAGAAGAAGCACCGGCUAACUCCGUGCCAGCAGCCGCGGUAAUUC
rnacentral:rRNA from 1 species